rnacentral:lncRNA from 1 species
CUCAAAUCUGCUAAAAUAAAAAUACUACUUUCAAUAAGAACUAAAUUCAGAAAGCUGUUUAAGCCCUUGCUUAGCUCUGGCACAUGCUUACCAUUUGUUGCACGGGUACUUAAUUCACUCUCACUUAAUGUGUCAUUCUGGAAUAGAGACAUUUCUCAGAUUCGAAGUUGAACUACUGCGAAGUUUAGCCUCUGAGGUGAAUGUUUUGGAAGGUUAAUAGCCUGUGGAAAUAGAGGAGCCCUAUGUUAUGUUUAGUACUCACUUUGGCUGAAAGAUGAAAUAGACUCUCUUCACCCAGCCGCUAAAAUGCAGCCACCUGUGGGGAGUAAUGUGCCAGCUCUUUAGUGCAACAGUGCAAAACCAUUUAAGAGAGAAGUGAAGCGUUAUGCCUCAGUCCAAAGGGAGUGUUUGCCAUUGUUGUUACUGAACAGCACGACAUUUUUUUUCUGGGUGGAAGGCACUGUCUGUGUAAUGCUGUAUUUCAAAAGGAUUUGGGUUUGGAUACACAGGAAAUGGGAUCGUGUCAUCAGUUAAUCAAUAACUCAGCGUGAUGGACUGGUCUCCCUACUUAGCACUGGAAGAAACCAGCAGAGGCAAGAACACGGACACAGUGAAUGUUACUUAAUGCCUAGAUCUGAAGAACAAAGCAGCUAGGUACACACCUCAGAUACACUGCAUUUAUGCUUGGCACACUGGAGAGCAGAGGCAAAGUUUGUGCUAGGCUCCCUCAUCCCAGAGCUGGCAUAUGAAUGGACCAGUCCCAGGCAUGCUAUUGUGCAGUCACAGGCAACUGCAAAGGCACCCUCUGGUUCAUGAAGGAUGGACCUACAUAGGAAGCACUGCUGGGCGCACACUUUCCCUGUUGGGGCUAGCCACUGGAAGUCUGAAGAUCACUUCUUAGAUAGGACUUGCUAAUUAAAAUAAAUUUUAAUUGAGUCAAAUUCUCUGAUUAUUU